AUAGGCAUGGUGAAAUUGGUAAACACAUCCGAUUUAGGCUCGGAUAAUAGAAAUAUUGUGCAAGUUCAAGUCUUGUUGCCUAUA
rnacentral:tRNA from 1 species